rnacentral:tRNA from 1 species
UGGGGUUAUGGCUCAGUGGUAGAGUACUUGCCUAGCAUGUAUGAGGCACUGGGUUUAAUUCUCAGUACCACAA